CAUCUUUUCUCGUUAGUUUUUGAAGUAUGGCCUGCCCGCUGACUUUGGUGUUGAAGGGCCGCGGUAUUUUGACCGUGCAAAGGUAGCAUAGUCAUUAGUUCUUUAAUUGUGAUCUGGUAUGAAUGGCUUGACGAGGCAUGGGCUGUCUUAAUUUUGAAUUGUUUAUUGAAUUUGGUCUUUGGGUUAAAAUUCUUAGAUGUUUUUAUGGGACGAGAAGACCCUAUAGAGUUUAACAUUUGUUAUGGUCCCUUUCUGUUUGUGAGGGUUCAUUGGGCCGUUAAAUAUGUUUUGUUGGGGUGAUGGGAGGGAUUAUUUAACCCCUCCUUUUGUUAUUAUAUUUAUUUAUAUUUACUUGAUCCAUUUAUUUUGAUUGUAAGAUUAAAUUACC
rnacentral:rRNA from 3 species